rnacentral:lncRNA from 1 species
GACAAGUGAAAUCUGUAAUUUUGUAAAGCAAAUGAAAUCUUCCCACGAGACAAGUUGGCCCUCUCUAUUCCUACGCUCUGGUUUUGAAUGAUUCAUUAUCACUUGCACUCACUCAUUUUCCUCAGUAAAUGAGUGAAUGAUUCAGGCUUUUGAACGGAAAACACAGGCCGUGUUCCAGACUUUAGAAUAGCAACACCAGCAAGAAU